rnacentral:rRNA from 1 species
AUACGUAGGGUGCUAGCGUUAUCCGGAUUUACUGGGCGUAAAGGGUGCGUAGGUGGUCUUUCAAGUCGGUGGUUAAAGGCUACGGCUCAACCGUAUUAAGCCGCCGAAACUGGAAGACUUGAGUGCAGGAGAGGAAAGUGGAAUUCUCAGUGUAGCGGUGAAAUGCGUAGAUAUUGAGAAGAACACCAGUAGCAAAGGCGGCUUUCUGGACUGUAACUGACACUGAGGCACGAAAGCGUGGGUAGCAAACAGGAUUAGAUACCCUGGUAGUCCACGCCGUAAACGAUGAGUAUUAGGUGUCGGGGGUUACCCCCCUCGGUGCCGCAGUUAACGCAUUAAAUACUCCGCCUGGGGAGUACGCACGCAAGUGUGAAACUCAAAGGAAUUGACGGGG